GAAGGAGGGAGAACAUGAGAAAGAAAGUCAGGACCGUGAAAGAAGCAAAUGCUGGACAGGCUGCAAAUUCACAGAGAAGAUGAAGAGCCUCAUUGGUGUAAUAGAGUGAGAUGGUCAAGAUGGCUGCCACCCUUUCCCACUUCUGCAAACACAUGCACAUCCUGAGGGGAAUCCACAAUGACCAACACACUCACUCAGCUCUAUAAGGAACAGGUAAUAUCUACUGGUUCUUAGCAUGCUAGAGUAUUCUGUGAUUG